GAUGAACGCUGGCGGCGUGCCUAAUACAUGCAAGUCGAGCGAACAGACGAGGAGCUUGCUCCUCUGACGUUGGCGGCGGACGGGUGAGUAACACGUGGAUAACCUACCUAUAAGACUGGGAUAACUUCGGGAAACCGGAGCUAAUACCGGAUAAUAUAUUGAACCGCAUGGUUCAAUAGUGAAAGACGGUUUUGCUGUCACUUAUAGAUGGAUCCGCGCCGCAUUAGCUAGUUGGUAGGGUAACGGCUUACCAAGGCAACGAUGCGUAGCCGACCUGAGAGGGUGAUCGGCCACACUGGAACUGAGACACGGUCCAGACUCCUACGGGAGGCAGCAGUAGGGAAUCUUCCGCAAUGGGCGAAAGCCUGACGGAGCAACGCCGCGUGAGUGAUGAAGGUCUUCGGAUCGUAAAACUCUGUUAUUAGGGAAGAACAAAUGUGUAAGUAACUAUGCACGUCUUGACGGUACCUAAUCAGAAAGCCACGGCUAACUACGUG
rnacentral:rRNA from 1 species